CAAGCGGUGGAGCAUGUGGUUUAAUUCGAAGCAACGCGAAGUAACCUUACCAGGUCUUGACAUCCCGAUGCUAUUUCUAGAGAUAGAAAGUUACUUCGGUACAUCGGUGACAGGUGGUGCAUGGUUGUCGUCAGCUCGUGUCGUGAGAUGUUGGGUUAAGUCCCGCAACGAGCGCAACCCUUGUCAUUAGUUGCUACGAAAGGGCACUCUAAUGAGACUGCCGGUGACAAACCGGAGGAAGGUGGGGAUGACGUCAAGUCCCCAUGGCCCUUAUAGGUGGGGCUACACACGUCAUACAAUGGCUGGUACAAAGGGUUGCCAACCCGCGAGGGGGAGCUAAUCCCAUAAAGCCAGUCGUAGUCCGGAUCGCAGUCUGCAACUCGACUGCGUGAAGUCGGAAUCGCUAGUAAUCGUGGAUCAGAAUGUCACGGUGAAUACGUUCCCGGGUCUU
rnacentral:rRNA from 1 species